AGUGAACGCUGGCGGUAGGCCUAACACAUGCAAGUCGAACGGCAGCACAGUAAGAGCUUGCUCUUACGGGUGGCGAGUGGCGGACGGGUGAGGAAUACAUCGGAAUCUACUUUUUCGUGGGGGAUAACGUAGGGAAACUUACGCUAAUACCGCAUACGACCUACGGGUGAAAGCAGGGGAUCUUCGCACCUUGCGCGAUUGAAUGAGCCGAUGUCGGAUUAGCUAGUUGGCGGGGUAAAGGCCCACCCAGGCGGCGAUCCGUAGCUGGUCUGAGAGGAUGAUCAGCCACACUGGAACUGAGACACGGUCCAGACUCCUACGGGAGGCAGCAGUGGGGAAUAUUGGACAAUGGGCGCAAGCCUGAUCCAGCCAUACCGCGUGGGUGAAGAAGGCCUUCGGGUUGUAAAGCCCUUUUGUUGGGAAAGAAAAGCAGCAGGUUAAUACCCCGCUGUUCUGACGGUACCCAAAGAAUAAGCACCGGCUAACUUCGUG
rnacentral:rRNA from 1 species